rnacentral:rRNA from 2 species
UGAGGAAUAUUGGUCAAUGGUCGGAAGACUGAACCAGCCAAGUAGCGUGAGGGAUGACUGCCCUAUGGGUUGUAAACCUCUUUUAUAUGGGAAUAAAAAAGAUUACGUGUAGUCUAUUGUAUGUACCUUAUGAAUAAGCAUCGGCUAAUUCCGUGCCAGCAGCCGCGGUAAUACGGAAGAUGCGAGCGUUAUCCGGAUUUAUUGGGUUUAAAGGGAGCGUAGGCGGACUGAUAAGUCAGCGGUAAAAUCGUGCGGCUCAACCGUACCAUGCCGUUGAAACUGUCGGUCUUGAGUGUACACAGGGCAGGUGGAAUUUGUGGUGUAGCGGUGAAAUGCUUAGAUAUCACGAGGAACUCCGAUCGCGAAGGCAUCCUGCCGGGGUACGACUGACGCUGAGGCUCGAAAGUGUGGGUAUCAAACAGG